AUUGAACGCUGGCGGCAUGCCUUACACAUGCAAGUCGAACGGCAGCAUGAUCUAGCUUGCUAGAUUGAUGGCGAGUGGCGAACGGGUGAGUAAUACAUCGGAACGUGCCCUGUAGUGGGGGAUAACUAGUCGAAAGAUUAGCUAAUACCGCAUACGACCUGAGGGUGAAAGUGGGGGCCGCAAGGCCUCCUGCUAUAGGAGCGGCCGAUGUCUGAUUAGCUAGUUGGUGAGGUAAAGGCUCACCAAGGCGACGAUCAGUAGCUGGUCUGAGAGGACGAUCAGCCACACUGGGACUGAGACACGGCCCAGACUCCUACGGGAGGCAGCAGUGGGGAAUUUUGGACAAUGGGCGAAAGCCUGAUCCAGCAAUGCCGCGUGUGUGAAGAAGGCCUUCGGGUUGUAAAGCACUUUUGUCCGGAAAGAAAUGGCUCUGGUUAAUACCUGGGGUCGAUGACGGUACCGGAAGAAUAAGGACCGGCUAACUACGUG
rnacentral:rRNA from 1 species